GAUGAAGAACGUAGCGAAAUGCGAUACGUAAUGUGAAUUGCAGAAUUCAGUGAAUCAUCGAAUCUUUGAACGCACAUUGCGCCCGCCAGCAUUCUGGCGGGCAUGCCUGUUCGAGCGUCAUUUCAACCCUCGAGCCCCCCCCGGGGGCCUCGGUGUUGGGGGACGACACACCAGCCGCCCCCGAAAUGCAGUGGCGACCCCGCCGCAGCCUCCCCUGCGUAGUAGCACACACCUCGCACCGGAGCGCGGAGGCGGUCACGCCGUAAAACGCCCAACUUUCUUAGAGUUGACCUCGGAUCAGGUAGGAAUAACCGCUGAACUUAAGCAUAUCAAUAAGCGGAGGA
rnacentral:misc_RNA from 1 species